AGGAGUGGAACUAGUUUGAAUGACAAAUAUUCAAACUAUUGAUCCCCUAAAGGAGAGGAACUCGUUUGUAACGCUAAGACAUACAAACUAUGGAUACCCUUUUUUGAAAACAAAAGUAUGGAACUAGUAUGUGCGUGAGACGUCAACAUAAACACAAACACUCAUUUUUGUUUAAAACGUACUAACUCAAAAGAGAAGGCCUAAGAGAAAGUGAGAGGACAGAUAAUAAAAAUGUGUGGGAGGAGAAUACCGAAAUAGAAGUUAUUACGUCAUUCACAGCCAAUCAAAGAACACCAAGUGUCACCUGUGACCUUUAGGAUAUAAAAUAAGACACCUGAAACUGUAAGUUCAAAAUCAAAAAGUAAUGGCUGCCCCAAUAGAGGAUGUCCUCAUUGAGGUCCAUCCAUCUGAUGAUGAACUUGCAGAAAAAGAUGAAGUAAGGGUGAAAG